CCCAGAGUUGUAGGCUUUGCCUGCUAUCUCUUACCCAUGUCUUUUGAGUACCUUCGUUUCCUCGGCGGGUCCGCCCGCCGAUUGGACAAUUUAAACCAUUUGCAGUUGCAAUCAGCGUCUGAAAAAACUUAAUAGUUA
rnacentral:misc_RNA from 1 species